rnacentral:rRNA from 1 species
GACGUAGGGCGCGAGCGUUGUCCGGAUUUAUUGGGCGUAAAGAGCUCGUAGGCGGCUUGUUGCGUCAGCUGUGAAAACCCGCAGCUCAACUGUGGGCUUGCAGCUGAUACGGGCAGGCUUGAGUUCGGUAGGGGAGACUGGAAUUCCUGGUGUAGCGGUGAAAUGCGCAGAUAUCAGGAGGAACACCAGCAGCGAAGGCGGCGCUCUGGGCUGGAACUGACGCUGAGGUGCGAAAGCGUGGGGAGCGAACAGG